rnacentral:rRNA from 1 species
GAACGCGAAGAACCUUACCAGGUCUUGACAUUGAUGGACAGAACCAGAGAUGGUUCCUCUUCUUCGGAAGCCAGAAAACAGGUGGUGCACGGUUGUCGUCAGCUCGUGUCGUGAGAUGUUGGGUUAAGUCCCGCAACGAGCGCAACCCCUAUCUUAUGUUGCCAGCACGUAAUGGUGGGAACUCAUGAGAGACUGCCGCAGACAAUGCGGAGGAAGGCGGGGAUGACGUCAAAUCAUCAUGCCCCUUAUGACCUGGGCUACACACGUACUACAAUGGGAGUUAAUAGACGGAAGCGAAACCGCGAGGUGGAGCAAACCCGAGAAACACUCUCUCAGUUCGGAUCGUAGGCUGCAACUCGCCUACGUGAAGUCGGAAUCGCUAGUAAUCGCAGGUCAGCAUACUGCGGUGAAUACGUUCCCGGGUCUUGUACACACC